ensembl:lncRNA
UUUUAAAAUAUUUUCUUACUGUCUUGUCCAGUCUUCUGGAUGCAGUGUAGCCUAUUUGUUAAGUUAAAAAUAAUGUUAUUAGAAUUUUUAUUAAUUAGCCAAAUGAAUUUUUAUGCUGUUGAAUUUUCAGAAACAGGAACCCAGUCUACCUAUCACUUUUUUCAAAUCAUUUUAUACUUUUUAUUUUGAAACAAACUUAUAGAAGAUUGCAAGGAGAAAACAAAUACCCAUUUUUCUUCAAAUCCAUUUGGAACUUGAGAGUGUGAAUCUUUGGGAAGAAUAUCAUAGAAGUGUGCUUCCUGGGACCUAACUGGGAACCACAGCCUUGGGAGGUCAGGAAAGGCCAGAGAAUACCACAGAAGAGAUCCUGUGCUCUUCAUUGCAUCCUCUCAGAACUGUGAAGCUGGAGGCCACUCAGGUUCCAAAUUUGUGACAAAUUCCCCAGGGCUCAUUGGAGUGGCAGUAAGUUCUCACAGUUUGAUUUCCUUUCAACCAUUGAAGUGUUAGAAAAGUAGCAACAAAGACUCCCACAGAAAACAGCAAUUCCAUUUCCUGACUGUCCGCCAUAGUGAUGACUUAACUCUUUUGUUCCAUAGCUCUUUGUUGUUGUUGUUGAAUAAUUUUAAUACUUUUCUCCAUAUGAUGUAUGGUAUGGUUUUCACAAACUGGCAUAAUGCUUAAACUGUGCUUUGAGUGUAGCCAGUGUUUCUCACAUUCUUCCUCUGUCUAUCCCCAUCAUCUGCCACAGAAAAGUUGAUUUUAUUUUUAAAGAUUUCUUUACCCUUUUCAGCUGUUACUUUCACUUUAAAUAUAUGAUGUUCUACAUGUUAUAAAGUUAGAUACUCUUUUAAUAGUAUAGUUAUGAAUAAAAAC